ACGUGGCAGAAGUCUCAGAAGAAGAUCAUACGCGAGUUCAUUAACUCCAUCUCAGCCAUUCGUUCCACCCACCCUUCUGUCGCCGGAUGGUGGAAGACCGUACAACUUUACACCGAUCAAACCGGCGCGAACAUCUCACGAACGGUUCGCUUAGGAGAGGAGAAAAACGACCGGUUUUAUUCCCACGGGAAAUCGCUAACGAGGUUAUCUAUACAGUCUGUGAUUAAAAGUGCGGUCACAGCUAGAUCAAAGCCGUUGCCAAUAAAUCCGAAAAGUGGGUUAUAUCUGUUGCUCACGUCCGAUGACGUGUACGUCCAGGAUUUCUGUGGACAGGUCUGUGGAUUCCACUAUUUCACAUUCCCGUCGAUUGUGGGGUAUACGCUCCCGUACGCAUGGGUGGGCAACAGCGCGAAGCUAUGCCCAGGAGUGUGUGCCUACCCAUUCGCCGUACCAAACUAUAUCCCUGGGCUAAAGCCAAAAAAGUCACCCAACGGCGACGUAGGAGUGGAUGGGAUGAUAAGCGUGAUCGGUCACGAGAUUGCUGAGCUGGCAACGAACCCGUUGGUGAACGCAUGGUACGCCGGGCAGGACCCAACUUCGCCUGUGGAGAUAGCGGAUUUAUGCGAGGGUAUUUACGGAACAGGAGGGGGUGGGUCGUACACAGGGCAACUAUUGGAGGGACAUGAUGGUGCUACGUAUAAUAUGAAUGGAAUAAGACGGAGGUAC
rnacentral:misc_RNA from 1 species